AGAGUUUGAUCAUGGCUCAGGACGAACGCUGGCGGCGUGCUUAACACAUGCAAGUCGAACGGAAAGGCCCCUUCGGGGGUACUCGAGUGGCGAACGGGUGAGUAACACGUGGGUGAUCUGCCCUGCACUUUGGGAUAAGCCUGGGAAACUGGGUCUAAUACCGAAUAGGACCGCAUGCUUCAUGGUGUGUGGUGGAAAGCUUUUGCGGUGUGGGAUGGGCCCGCGGCCUAUCAGCUUGUUGGUGGGGUAAUGGCCUACCAAGGCGACGACGGGUAGCCGGCCUGAGAGGGUGUCCGGCCACACUGGGACUGAGAUACGGCCCAGACUCCUACGGGAGGCAGCAGUGGGGAAUAUUGCACAAUGGGCGCAAGCCUGAUGCAGCGACGCCGCGUGGGGGAUGACGGCCUUCGGGUUGUAAACCUCUUUCAAUAGGGACGAAGCGAAAGUGACGGUACCUACAGAAGAAGGACCGGCCAACUACGUGCCAGCAGCCGCGGUAAUACGUAGGGUCCGAGCGUUGUCCGGAAUUACUGGGCGUAAAGAGCUCGUAGGUGGUUUGUCGCGUUGUUCGUGAAAACUCACAGCUUAACUGUGGGCGUGCGGGCGAUACGGGCAGACUAGAGUACUGCAGGGGAGACUGGAAUUCCUGGUGUAGCGGUGGAAUGCGCAGAUAUCAGGAGGAACACCGGUGGCGAAGGCGGGUCUCUGGGCAGUAACUGACGCUGAGGAGCGAAAGCGUGGGGAGCGAACAGGAUUAGAUACCCCGGUAGUCCAA
rnacentral:rRNA from 1 species